ensembl:lncRNA
UUUGCCUUUGCAUUCAUCAAACAUUUCUACAAGAUGGGUCUCUGUCAGUUUCUUUCUUCCUGGGAGUUUAUAUUUUGGGUCAAGAGCUAUUACUCCAAGCUGAACUCAUGCAGCUAUUUGUUGAAGCAUGUAUUGAUUUUUGUUACUUAUCUCAAAACCAUAUUCAUUACAACUCAAACAGCAACGGUGCUUAGCAGCGCUUAAAUAUCCGCAUUUUCUCUCUCUGUACCUGGGUAAUGUCUGCCUGCAGCACCGGACUCCGCCAGAGACGUCUGCCUUGCCCGAGCACCUGACAUACUCUGCUGCUGCUCUUCUGUCCGCCCUUGCGCAAAUGUCUCAUAUUCAGUGUUGUGGUUUGUUCGUAAGUGUUUCACUAGGUUGGUUGUGUUGCCACAACUCUACACGGUUUUCCCACAGAUGUCACACAAUGCAUCCUGAAGAAAAAG